UACGGGGGGAGCAAGCGUUGUUCGGAUUUACUGGGCGUAAAGGGCGCGUAGGCGGCAUGACAAGUCACUUGUGAAAUCUCCGGGCUUAACUCGGAACGGCCAAGUGAUACUGUCAAGCUAGAGUGCAGAAAGGGCAAUCGGAAUUCUUGGUGUAGCGGUGAAAUGCGUAGAUAUCAAGAGGAACACCUGAGGCGAAGGCGGGUUGCUAGGCUGACACUGACGCUGAAGCGCGAAAGCUAGGGGAGCGAUCCGG
rnacentral:rRNA from 1 species